rnacentral:rRNA from 1 species
UACAGAGGUCCCAAGCGUUGUUCGGAUUCACUGGGCGUAAAGGGUGCGUAGGUGGCGAGGUAAGUUUGAUGUGAAAUCUCCGGGCUUAACCCGGAAAUGGCAUUGAAUACUCUCUCGCUAGAGGGUUGGAGGGGGGACUGGAAUUCUCGGUGUAGCAGUGAAAUGCGUAGAUAUCGAGAGGAACACCAGUGGCGAAGGCGAGUCCCUGGACAACUCCUGACACUGAGGCACGAAAGCUAGGGAGCAAACAGG